rnacentral:rRNA from 1 species
GACGAACGCUGGCGGCGUGCCUAAUACAUGCAAGUCGAACGAGUGGCGGACGGGUGAGUAACACGUGGGUAACCUACCCACAGAGGGGGAUAACACUUGGAAACAGGGUCUAAUACCGAAUAAAGGGGGAUGGGCUCGCGGCCUAUCAGCUUGUUGGGGGGGUGAUGGCCUACCAAGGCGGUGACGGGUAGCCGGCCGGAGAGGGUGACCGGACCGAUUGGGAGUGAGAUACUGCUCAGACACCUACGGGAGGCAGCAGUGGGGGAUAUUGCACAAUGGGGGAGAGCCUGAUGCAGCGACGCCGCGUGGGGGAUGAAGGUGUUCGGGUUGUAAACCUAUUUCGCAAUCGAACGGGUAGGUGGAGAAGAAGCGCCGGCUAACUACGUGCCAGCAGCCGCGGUAAUUC